rnacentral:snRNA from 1 species
UCCUGGCUAUCAGGAGUUUCCAAAGCAUGUACAAAUCACACACAGAAUUUCUACUCAUGUCACAAAUGAGUUUUAUUUCUUAGCAUGGCCCCUGUGCAAGGAUGACACACAAAUUCGUGAAGCGUUUCAUAUUUUU